AGCGAACGCUGGCGGCAGGCCUAACACAUGCAAGUCGAACGAACCCUUCGGGGUUAGUGGCGGACGGGUGAGUAACACGUGGGAACGUGCCUUUAGGUUCGGAAUAACUCAGGGAAACUUGUGCUAAUACCGAAUGUGCCCUUCGGGGGAAAGAUUUAUCGCCUUUAGAGCGGCCCGCGUCUGAUUAGCUAGUUGGUGGGGUAAUGGCCCACCAAGGCUACGAUCAGUAGCUGGUCUGAGAGGAUGACCAGCCACAUUGGGACUGAGACACGGCCCAAACUCCUACGGGAGGCAGCAGUGGGGAAUCUUGCGCAAUGGGCGAAAGCCUGACGCAGCCAUGCCGCGUGGAUGAUGAAGGUCUUAGGAUUGUAAAAUCCUUUCACCGGUGAAGAUAAUGACUGUAGCCGGAGAAGAAGCCCCGGCUAACUUCGUGCCAGCCGCCGCCGUAAAAC
rnacentral:rRNA from 1 species